UGGGGAAUAUUGCACAAUGGGCGCAAGCCUGAUGCAGCCAUGCCGCGUGUGUGAAGAAGGCCUUCGGGUUGUAAAGUACUUUCAGCGGGGAGGAAGGGAGUAAAGUUAAUACCUUUGCUCAUUGACGUUACCCGCAAAAGAAGCACCGGCUAACUCCGUGCCAGCAGCCGCGGUAAUACGGAGGGUGCAAGCGUUAAUCGGAAUUACUGGGCGUAAAGCGCACGCAGGCGGUUUGUUAAGUCAGAUGUGAAAUCCCCGGGCUCAACCUGGGAACUGCAUCUGAUACUGGCAAGCUUGAGUCUCGUAGAGGGGGGUAGAAUUCCAGGUGUAGCGGUGAAAUGCGUAGAGAUCUGGAGGAAUACCGGUGGCGAAGGCGGCCCCCUGGACGAAGACUGACGCUCAGGUGCGAAAGCGUGGGGAGCAAACAGG
rnacentral:rRNA from 1 species